CUCCCUUGACCUUUAAAGCUGAUCUUCUUAAAGACAGUACACUGUUUCUUGGAUAAUUAUUACCUGUUCAGCUACAUGAUUACCCUGCUUGGCUCAUUGUUCUGGAUCGAAGACUUUCUCCUAAGAAGAAUAGGAACAGAGCAGUUGGACAUGGCCAGAGGUUCCUGUGACAUUCCUUCAGUUUUCAGUGUGAACUGCAGAGAAAAGACAGCAAUUUUGAUUUGUCUUGCAGAAUAGCCAGUGCCCCAGACCUGAAAUCACUACUACUUGGAGUACUACAGGUAGCUUUGAAAAUUUUAAAUAAUGUUCCAUGGAUACAUAGUUUCAGUUAUCCAAGAUGAGAAAGCUCUGGAGAUUGUUUGCACAACAAAAGGAGUAUACUUAGCACUACUGAACGUACAUUUGAAAAUGGUUAAGAAGAAAGGAAGAAGAAAUUGGAAGUUUGCUCUCUCAACUUAUUUAUGGAAGAUAAGACCAUUAUCUACAUUGAGUUUGUGAAGAUUCUAUACUACUCCUUUUAUUGUGAACCUCGAAUCUGGCUCAGCACAGUUUAAAAUCAGGGAGCAGCUCAAGGAGACCCACUUCUCCAAGACCAGGUUGACAGUGUAAACUGCAGUACCGGCCCUCAAACUCUAAGAGACACUGUACCUGUGCAGCAACCAGAUUCAGAAAUGUGGGCUACAACAAACCACAGCCACGGAUGAAAACAGAAGAGGUGCACGUGUCCAAUCAAGAAUACUUGGAAUACUUAAUUGGACACAUAAUAUAGAUGAACUUCAGGCCAUGGUUGCAUAGACUUGCUGCCUCCUAUCUUACCGACCUGGAUCUGCACAGCUGUUUUCUGAAUUUUGCUGCCACUCUCAUGAUUCAGCUGAAGCUAUGUUCUGAACAUGGCCCGUGACCUGUCUGCCAAAUUCGAGACGCUUUUCUUCUCCAUCUUGGUGUUCUGCCCCUGUGAUGCUCUUGGAAACUCUCCUCUAUAGAUAUCACUGUUCUGGUUCUUCUUAUUUUUGGUGGCUCCUCAUCUAUUUGUUUUUGGCUCCUUUUCUUUUACACUGUCUUCAGUGUCAUCCAGGGUUGAAUCCUUGACUUGCACAAGUAACGCUAAAUCUAACAUGCAAGUGACUUGUCAACCCUUGUGUCCAAACCAGAUCAACUCCUGCACUCUGGGUAUGAAUUUCCCUUUAGCUUUCAAACUGAACCUGUCUAAAUUUGAACCCAUUAGAUCAUAUUUCCAUGAAUUUAUAGAUUUAUUUAAGGAUUGUUGAUAUUUUUAUCUCAAGUUUUUCAUUGAAGACAGUGGUGAAAGCUUUUUGUCAUUUUUCUAAAUGUGGUCAUAGUUGUUAGGUUUACUUGUAGAAGUGUAUGUAUGUCCAAGGUUUUACUAUUCAUGGUUUCAGUUACUUUAGCCAAGUGACCGCUGAAAAUACUCAUUUAAAAAUUGCAGAAAGAAAUAAUCCUUAAGUUUCAAAUUGCACAUCAUUCUCAGCAGUAUAAUAAAAUGUCACAUCAUCUCACUCCAACACACCUAAUGGAUGAAUCUGUCUAUGCUACCCACUGCUUGGUUGGUUAGGAGGAGCUGUCUGGUUAUCAGAUGGACUACUGCAGUAUCAGAGUGCUUGUGUUGAAGUGACACAAAGUGGCCUAAACGCUGUGUCCCUAUGCCUAGUCAAUCACUUCACUUCAUCUCACAUCAUCAGAAGAUUGAACACUGUACUACACUUAAUCUUAGCCAAAAGGCCGAGAAGCGAUGAACACUGUAUGUUUUGAGAGGCUACAUUCAAUUUUAUUACAGUAUAUUGUUAUAAUUGUGAUAUUUUAUUAUUGUUAAUCUCUUAUGGUACCUAAUUUAUAAAUUAAACCUCAUCGCAGGUAUAGAUAUAUAGGAAAACAUAGGGUUUUGGUACUUUCUGUGGUUUCAACAUCCACUAGGAGUCUCAGGGUGUUUUCCCCAUGGAUACAGAGGGACUACUGUAUGUUGGAGGGGAGUGGGCUUUUGUCAAGGUUCUGGCUGCUCUGCAAUUUUGAUCUUGCUUUUUAAAAAUUUCUGGAUUUAUGAAUUCUAUUCCCCCAAGAUAUGAAUCCAGAAAACUUUAUUCUACCCAUGUGUUUAUCAGCUAGGGUUCAUGCGGGUAAACUUAACACUAUCAGUCACAUUCACCUUUGUGAAAUUUCCAUAUAUACUGGAAAAUUGAAACAGGAAAUGCCACCUGGAACUUAUCUUUGCAUGUUUAAGUGGCAACUAGCAGGCAGCUUUUGUGGGUGGCAAUGUGUCCUCACACAUGACUUUGGUGCUGAUGGCCAGAGCAACCAGUGCUUCAUUUGGGUCCUACAUGGUAGCAUUUAACACUUGGUGACAUCGGUAGCUUAGUUUCCUCAGCUGGCCCGUGCCAUGACACAGUAGUGACAGUUUCCUGGAAGUUUGGCCUUGAGUCUUGCACACAAACUUAUCUAGCAGCCCUUAAAUAAACUUCUCUCCUGCUAGUUUCUGUUGCUUGCAGUGAGAAACUGGAGUAACACAUCAAAGAAGUGUGGGAGGGAAAAGUUGCCUUGCACAAGAAUUACAUCCAGGAUAACCAUGGCUAUGCAGGUGGGCUGUGAACUGAACAGCUCCAGGGCGCCCAUUAUACAGACUCAAAUGUGAAUGGAAAGAUUUGGGGUAUGCAGCCUCACAUGCCCCAGUAACAUUUCUUACUGUGUAGGGGAUGCUCUGGUUCACCUCUGAUCCUUAUCUCAUGUCACUUUAUCCUUAGCACUUUCAAAAAAACAAAAUGCUCAAAUACACAUAAAAUUUAAUAUCCUAACCAUUUUAAGUGUGCAUUCAGUAGUAUUAAGUACAUUUACAAUGAUAUGCUAUGAAUACCUAAGACUCAUCUUACAUAACUAAAACUUUUUACUUAUUAACCCUCCGUUCCCCCUUCUCUAGCCCCUAGCAAACAGCAUUCUACUCUCUGUUUCUAUGAGUUUUGAUUACUGUGCACACCUCAUAUAAGUAGAAUCAUACAGUAUUUGUCUUUUUAAAACUGGCUUAUUUCAAACAGCAUAGUGUCAGUAAGGUUCAUCCAUGCUGUGGCAUGUGCAGGAUUUUCCUUCUUAAAGGCAGAGUAAUAUUCCAUGGUAUUUCUUUAUCUAUUCAUCCAUUGAUUGACAUUUAGAAUGUUUCUAUCUUUUUGGUUAUUGUGACUAAAUCAUCUGUGAAUAUGAGUGUUUAUACUCAGCAAUAUUAAUUUUAAUAAUAACUGUCUCCUAAGUAGCACUUGCUUUGUAUCAGACACUUAUCUAACAUAUUCUAACUUCUCCAAACCUUUAAUCAUCUCUGUGAAUUAUGAACUAUUAUUAUCCCUAAUAUACCAAUGGGGAGAAAAUGAUUACAAAACCCUUAUAGAAGUUGGGGAACUUGUUCCUGGUAACUUAAAUCCUGAUGGUAGAACUGGGGUUUAAAUACCCAAGUCUGGCUAUUGAGUGUGAAUUUUCCACUACAUUGUCUGAAUAUUAAGCCUUUAGAUGUUGGUCUUUAUUGUUUAAUGUGCUGUUCCUGUUGACAGAAAUUGUGUUCAUUCUUCCCAUUUAUAUCUGCAUGUCACUGUCUUUCCUCAGAAAGGCCUUACUGACCGUCCAGUUACUCACAACCAUAGAACCUAUUUUAAAUUUUAACAUAGCCCUCACUACUACCUAACAUUUUCUGUAUAAUUUACCUCAUGUUUGUAACCAGCUUCCCACUAAAAUGUAAGCUUCAUGAAAGCACAGACAUCAUGGUUAUUUUAUACUCUAUUGCCAGUGCCUGGGUCUCUGCUUAGCAAAGAAUAAGUAAUAUUUCUUGCCUAAAAUAAUGAAUGAAUUCAUAAUGAAUAAGUCUAGGUGACUCUGAAUCUUGCAAUAAUAAAAAUAAAACAAGUGUUAAUAAGGUGGGGAAAAUCUUUCCAUAGAGCCAAGGCUUUAAAUAAACUCAAGAGUUAAUUAA